GGUAGCGUAAUCACCUGUUUCCUAAUUAGAGACCUGUAUGAACGGCAUCACGAGGAUCAAACUGUCUCCUUUAUCCAGUCAGUGAAACUAAUCUUCCUGUGAAAAAGCAGGAAUUACAAAACAAGACGAGAAGACCCUUUGGAGCUUAAGACAAAGUAAAAUUUUAUUUUUGCCACCUAUACCUCCCAUUACCCAAUUUUACUAGCCUUUGGUUGGGGCAACCACGGAGCACAAAAAACCCUCCAAGAUGUAACGGACUACUCCUAAACAAAAAGCCACAACUUUAUGUAUCAAUAAACUGACAUUAUUAGACCCAAUAUUUUGAUCAACGAACCAAGUUACCCAAGGGAUAACAGCGCAAUCCACUCUAAGAGUCCAUAUCGACGAGUGGGCUUACGACCUCGAUGUUGGAUCAAGGUACCCCAGUGGUGCAGCCGCUACUAAAGGUUCGUUUGUUCAACGAUUAAAACCUCACGUGAUCUGG
rnacentral:rRNA from 1 species